GUAGGGUCCAAGCGUUAAUCGGAAUUACUGGGCGUAAAGCGUGCGUAGGCGGUCUCACAAGUCCGAUGUGAAAUCCCCGGGCUUAACCUGGGAACUGCGUUGGAAACUAUGAGGCUCGAGUGCGGCAGAGGGGGGUGGAAUUCCAGGUGUAGCAGUGAAAUGCGUAGAGAUCUGGAGGAACACCGAUGGCGAAGGCAGCCCCCUGGGUCAGCACUGACGCUCAUACACGAAAGCGUGGGGAGCAAACAGGAUUAGAUACCCUGGUAGUCCACGCCCUAAACUAUGGCAACUAGUUGUUGGAGGAUGAACUCCUUUAGUAACGCAGCUAACGCGUGAAGUUGCCCGCCUGGGGAGUACGGUCGCAAGAUUA
rnacentral:rRNA from 1 species